UCGCUGCCAGUUGGCCAACGGGUGAAGCCGGGCGACUCUGGCGGGACUGCCAUCGACAAGAUGGAGGAAGGUGGGGAUGACGUCAAGUCAUCAUGGCCCUUAUGUCCAGGGCGACACACGUGCUACAAUGGCCGGCACAGCGGGAAGGCGAGGCAGUGAUGCCGAGCGGAUCCCUUAAAGCCGGUCUCAGUUCGGAUUGAAGUCUGCAACUCGACUUCAUGAAGCUGGAAUCGCUAGUAAUCGCAGAUCAGCCAAGCUGCGGUGAAUACGUUCCCGGGCCUU
rnacentral:rRNA from 1 species